UAUUCCUCUAAAGAGCCGUUCGAGACUAGGACGUUGAUAGGUUGGGUGUGGAAGCACGGUGACGUGUGAAGCUGACCAAUACUAAUUGCUCGUGAGGCUUGACUAUACAACACCCAAACAGUUG
rnacentral:rRNA from 1 species